rnacentral:rRNA from 1 species
CGGCGGACGGGUGAGUAAUGUAUGGGGAUCUGCCCGAUGGAGGGGGAUAACUACUGGAAACGGUAGCCAAUACCGCAUAACGUCGCAAGACCAAAGAGGGGGACCUUCGGGCCUCUUGCCAUCGGAUGUGCCCAGAUGGGAUUAGCUAGUAGGUGGGGUAACGGCUCACCUAGGCGACGAUCCCUAGCUGGUCUGAGAGGAUGACCAGCCACACUGGAACUGAGACACGGUCCAG